rfam:Candidatus Kapabacteria sp. 59-99 SCNpilot_expt_1000_bf_scaffold_85, whole genome shotgun sequence.
GGGGCGGUUGCCGAAAAGCCAAUAGAGUAGGCA